rnacentral:rRNA from 1 species
AGUGAACGCUGGCGGUAGGCCUAACACAUGCAAGUCGAACGGCAGCACAGUAAGAGCUUGCUCUUACGGGUGGCGAGUGGCGGACGGGUGAGGAAUAUAUCGGAAUCUACUUUUUCGUGGGGGAUAACGUAGGGAAACUUACGCUAAUACCGCAUACGACCUACGGGUGAAAGCAGGGGAUCUUAGGACCUUGCGCGAUUGAAUGAGCCGAUGUCGGAUUAGCUAGUUGGCGGGGUAAAGGCCCACCAAGGCGACGAUCCGUAGCUGGUCUGAGAGGAUGAUCAGCCACACUGGAACUGAGACACGGUCCAGACUCCUACGGGAGGCAGCAGUGGGGAAUAUUGGACAAUGGGCGCAAGCCUGAUCCAGCCAUACCGCGUGGGUGAAGAAGGCCUUCGGGUUGUAAAGCCCUUUUGUUGGGAAAGAAAAGCAGCAGGUUAAUACCCCGCUGUUCUGACGUUACCCAAAGAAUAAGCACCGGCUAACUUCGUG